CUGAGGUUUUGUUUCUCACGUCACCUGAACCCGCUCCGUUUCUAAACGGGUUCGUCUGUUUUUUGACCAUAAAGGUGAAGACAGUUGUGACCACGGGCUCAGACGCCGCUUCUGAUUGGGCGACGUGAAUGAAAAGGUGCAAACGCCAUGAAAUCAGCUGUUUGUGUGACUAAAGCGAACUCACAACAGGUUCAGUGUGUCGCUGUCGCUUCAUUUACAUGUGAAAAGGUCGACGAAUCUGAACUCCAGUGACUCACAGACUCUGACAGCCAAUGAGAUCAGAGAGACUGACGGGGGUUUAUUAACCUGGAAAAUGGAGGACGAACUGAUGGUGACGAUAUGAUCGGCCUCGUUGUUUCUAUGGAAACAGGAAUAAGGAGCGAGGGAAUCGGAUUAACCCUCUCAGUGUGGUCAACCUUAACCGUGUCCGAUGGAAACAGACUGAAACGGCGAGAAGGAAACCCCGCCUCUCUGCGGUAUCUCGUGUGUUUGAGCGCCUGUACAGAUGCUCACAGUUAUUCGUGGAAAUGAGGCGAGUACGCCAACAGACUACCAGCAAACACAAUGUUUGCAGGACUUCUACAACGAGGAUAAAGUGACAUAGUCCAGGACCCGAGGGAGGACAGUUUAGCGAUGGCGCUACAACACGCUACAGCAGGUCCGUUUGACAAGAAACACUUCUGUUACAGACACUUGUCUUACUUUGUUAAAGCGGUUUACCUGUCCAGCAGAAAGGUUACAGGGUCACCAAGAUCCCCAAGCGUCCCCCAUCGUUUAUGUUGACCCGGCUUUUUAGCUCUUGUCCGGUCUACCUCCGUUUUAAGCGCCCGUUAUUCCUCCAGAGACUGUUUUCUUUUUGACCGGUUUGGUGUUGACUGUUUAUGGUUGACUGUUUUCUUGUUGACUGAUUAUAGUUGACGUUUUCUUGCUGACUGUUUUCUUGUUGACUGUUUUUUUGUUGACUGUUUUUUGUUGACUGUUUUUUUGCUGACUGUUUUCUUGUUGACUGUUUUCUUGUUGACUUUUUUUGGUGACUGUUUUGGUGUUGACUGUUUUCUUGUUGACUGUUUUUUUGCUGACUGUUUAUGGUUGACUGUUUUCUUGCUGACUGUUUUCUUGCUGACUGUUUUUUGUUGACUGUUUUGGUGUUGACUGUUUAUGGUUGACUGUUUUCUUGUUGACUGUUUUCUUGCUGACUGUUUUCUUGCUGACUGGUUUUUUGCUGACUGUUUUUUUGCUGACUGUUUUCUUGCUGACUGUUUUUUGCUGACUGUUUUUUUGCUGACUGUUUAUGGUUGACUGUUUUCUUGCUGACUGUUUUCUUGCUGACUGUUUUUUGUUGACUGUUUUGGUGUUGACUGUUUAUGGUUGACUGUUUUCUUGUUGACUGUUUUCUUGCUGACUGUUUUCUUGCUGACUGGUUUUUUGCUGACUGUUUUCUUGUUGACUGUUUUCUUGCUGACUGUUUUCUUGCUGACUGUUUUCUUGUUGACUGUUUUCUUGUUGACUGUUUUUUUGUUGACUGUUUUUUGUUGACUGUUUUUUUGCUGACUGUUUUCUUGUUGACUGUUUUCUUGUUGACUUUUUUUGGUGACUGUUUUGGUGUUGACUGUUUUCUUGUUGACUGUUUUUUUGCUGACUGUUUAUGGUUGACUGUUUUCUUGCUGACUGUUUUCUUGCUGACUGUUUUUUGUUGACUGUUUUGGUGUUGACUGUUUUGGUGUUGACUGUUUAUGGUUGACUGUUUUCUUGUUGACUGUUUUCUUGCUGACUGUUUUCUUGCUGACUGGUUUUUUGCUGACUGUUUUUUUGCUGACUGUUUUCUUGCUGACUGUUUUUUGCUGACUGUUUUUUUGCUGACUGUUUAUGGUUGACUGUUUUCUUGCUGACUGUUUUCUUGCUGACUGUUUUUUGUUGACUGUUUUGGUGUUGACUGUUUAUGGUUGACUGUUUUCUUGUUGACUGUUUUCUUGCUGACUGUUUUCUUGCUGACUGGUUUUUUGCUGACUGUUUUCUUGUUGACUGUUUUCUUGCUGACUGUUUUCUUGCUGACUGUUUUCUUGCUGACUGUUUAUGUUUGAGUGUUUUCUUGCUUGUGUCGGCAGUCGUGGCCAAAGGAGGAUUCAGACAAUUUUCCGAACUUUCUGGUUGGUUUCUACUGUCCGAUAUUGUAGCACGCUAACUUUGUUUGGACUCCUGAACGACACGGGGGAGCAGCAUUUUCUUGUUGACUGAUUUCUUGUUGACUGUUUUCUUGCUGACUGUUUUUUGUUGACCAUUUUCCUGUUGACUGGUUUGGUGUUGACUGUUUUCUUGCUGACUGUUUAUGUUUGAGUGUUUUCUUGUUGACUGUUUUCUUGCUGACUGUUUUCUUGUUGAUUGUGGUUGACUGUUAUCUUGUUGACUGUUUUCUUGUUGACUGUUUUCUUUUUGACCGGUUUGGUGUUGACUGUUUUCUUGCUGACUGUUUUCUUGUUGAUUGUGGUUGACUGUUUUCUUGUUGACUGUUUUCCUGCUGACUGUUUUCUUGCUGACUGUUUUCUUGUUGAUUGUGGUUGACUGUUUUCUUGUUGACUGUUUUCUUGUUGACUGUUUUCUUGCUGACUGUUUUCUUGUUGACUGUUUUCUUGUUGACUGUUUUCUUGCUGACUGUUUAUGUUUGAGUGUUUUCUUGCUUGUGUCGGCAGUCGUGGCCAAAGGAGGAUUCAGACAAUUUUCCGAACUUUCUGGUUGGUUUCUACUGUCCGAUAUUGUAGCACGCUAACUUUGUUUGGGCUCCUGAACGACACGGGGGAGCAGCGUCUGCCUCACAACCAAUCAGGUUAGAGGAGGUGGAGAACGGCUUUGUUUACAGUCAGAAAGAGCGGACCGCUCAAAAAUGUUCAAAUGUUGACGACACAGACAGAAGAGAACACAGAGAUAUCGAUAUAUUACCAAAUAAUCAAUAACUAAUAACUAUUGACUGAUAUUAGAAGAUUUUUGUUUCUAUAAUCACAAAAUAAAAAGAUGCUUCUUUAACGGGUUCCUGUCUGCUCCUCCACCCGUCUGCUCCUCCACCCGUCUGCUCCUCCACCCGUCUGCUCCUCCACCCGUCUCCUCCUCCUCUAACAUGAAGACCUCGGCCUGUUUGCUUCGACCUCCGCUGUGAGACAUCUGCAGAGUCAUCCAGGAACACCAACAGUUCAGCUUCACUCCAACCAUCAGUCCAUCCCUCUGGAGCUCCACACUCACACAGAGGAGGAGAGGAGGAGGUCUGCUCCACUCCUCCUCCUCCUCCUCCCACAUGAACACUUUCCUUCUCACACUCUUCGAACAAUCGUGACGGAGAAGAACCUCUGGAGUCGGUGCCGAGGUGAUCCUUCAGGACAAUGGCGCCGUGACGCCGUCAUCACUAAAGGUUGACUUCCUGUUGAUGAUGAGGUCUGACGAGGUUAACG